GUCCACGCCGUAAACGAUGAUCACUAGAUGUUGGAUUGGCAUAGCCGAUUCGGUGUCGUAGCUAACGCGUUAAGUGAUCCGCCUGGGAAUUACGGUCGCAAGAUUAAAACUCAAAGGAAUUGACGGGGGUCCGCACAAGCGGUGGAACAUGUGGUUUAAUUCGACACUACGCGAGGAACCUUACCUGGGUUUGACAUGUAACUGCUACUGGUAGAAAUACUGGGUUUCGUAGUAAUACGAACGGUUACACAGGUGCUGCAUGGCUGUCGU
rnacentral:rRNA from 1 species